rnacentral:lncRNA from 1 species
ACGUGGCCUUCACAGCUGGCCUGAGUGAGCACAGCGGGCACUGAGGGGAACAAAGCGUGGGGGCCCUCCAGCAGCCCUUAUCAUCACCUGCCAGCCACCUGCCUCAGGCUGGGCAGGCUGCACCCUGGGCUUUCUGCUAUUGGCUUCCCAGAUCCCUGGAACUCCAGCUGGGGCCCUGGGCUGUGGUCUGACUUGAUCCAGAAUUUAAUGAGUAGAAGGAAUGGAAGAAGGCUCAUUCCCCCAGCCCUGGACACAGACAGCAGACACAGAGGCCUCCAGCACAGUGAAGCCUGUGGAGCAGUCCCCUCCAGAAUGCAACCUUGUAGGAGGGCAGCACCAUGGGCCAGCAACUCAGGGUGAUCAGCAAAUAAAUGAUCAAUACUAAGACACCAAGGCCCUAAGAAGUCACUGGAUGGGGUCCCGGGUGGAUUUCUAGCUCUACUGUCCACUGGCUGUGAGACCAUGAACAGGGUGCAUUGCCCAAGUCCACUCAGCUGGAAACAGGCUCUUUGAGAUCUGACCCAACUCCUGGCACGUUGGAGAUGUCCCAUAGACCAGUGUUGAAUGAAUGGGUAAGUUAAUGAGUCCAUGUACACAGGCUUUGGCAUGGCCUGGCUUAGGCAGCCCUGACCCUCACUAUCCUUCAGACCCAACACAUUACAAACAGGAUCCUUUGUCCCUUUCUUAGC